UACGGAGGGUGCAAACGUUGCUCGGAAUCAUUGGGCGUAAAGCGCACGUAGGUGGCUUGUUAAGUCGGGUGUGAAAUCCCUGGGCUCAACCCAGGAAGUGCACUCGAAACUGGCGAGCUUGAGUACUGAAGAGGGUCGCGGAAUUCCCGGUGUAGAGGUGAAAUUCGUAGAUAUCGGGAGGAACACCAGUGGCGAAGGCGGCGACCUGGGCAGAUACUGACACUGAGGCACGAAAGCGUGGGGAGCAAACAGG
rnacentral:rRNA from 1 species